ACGGAAGGCAGCAGUGGGGAAUAUUGGGCACUGGGGGAAACCCUGACCCAGCAACGCCGCGUGAAGGAAGAAGGCCUUCGGGUUGUAAACUUCUUUUACCAGGGACGAUAAUGACGGUACCUGGAGAAAAAGCAACGGCUAACUACGUGCCAGCAGCCGCGGGAAUACGUAGGUUGCAAGCGUUGUCCUGAUUUACUGGGUGUAAAGGGCGUGUAGGCGGAGCUGCAAGUCAGAUGUGAAAUCCCGGGGCUCAACCCCGGAACUGCAUUUGAAACUGUAGCCCUUGAGUAUCGGAGAGGCAAGCGGAAUUCCUAGUGUAGCGGUGAAAUGCGUAGAUAUUAGGAGGAACACCAGUGGCGAAGGCGGCUUGCUGGACGACAACUGGCGCUGAGGCGCGAAAGCGUGGGGAGCAAACAGGAUUAGAUACCCUGGUA
rnacentral:rRNA from 1 species